rnacentral:rRNA from 1 species
GACGAACGCUGGCGGCGUGCCUAAUACAUGCAAGUAGAACGCACAGUUUAUACCGUAGCUUGCUACACCAUAAACUGUGAGUUGCGAACGGGUGAGUAACGCGUAGGUAACCUGCCUGGUAGCGGGGGAUAACUAUUGGAAACGAUAGCUAAUACCGCAUAAUAUUGAUUAUUGCAUGAUAAUUGAUUGAAAGAUGCUAUUGCAUCACUACCAGAUGGACCUGCGUUGUAUUAGCUAGUAGGUGAGGUAACGGCUCACCUAGGCGACGAUACAUAGCCGACCGGAGAGGGUGAUCGGCCACACUGGGACUGAGACACGGCCCAGACUCCUACGGGAGGCAGCAGUAGGGAAUCUUCGGCAAGGGACGAAAGUCUGACCGAGCAACGCCGCGUGAGUGAAGAAGGUUGUCGGAUCGUAAAGCUCUGUUGUAAGAGAAGAACGGGUGUGAGAGUGGAAAGUUCACACUGUGACGGUAUCUUACCAGAAAGGGACGGCUAACUACGUG